GAGCGGAAAGGCCCUUUCGGGGGUACUCGAGCGGCGAACGGGUGAGUAACACGUGAGCAACCUGCCCCUGGCUCUGGGAUAGCUCCGGGAAACCGGGAUUAAUACCGGAUAUGACCCCCUUUUUGCAUGAGGGGGGGUGGAAAGUUUUUGCGGCUGGGGAUGGGCUCGCGGCCUAUCAGCUUGUUGGCAGGGUGAUGGCCUACCAAGGCGACGACGGGUAGCCGGCCUGAGAGGGCGGGCGGCCACACUGGGACUGAGACACGGCCCAGACUCCUACGGGAGGCAGCAGUGGGGAAUAUUGCGCAAUGGGCGGAAGCCUGACGCAGCGACGCCGCGUGCGGGAUGAAGGCCUUCGGGUUGUAAACCGCUUUCACCGGAGACGAGGGGAGACUGACGGUAUCCGGGGAAGAAGCGCCGGCUAACUACGUG
rnacentral:rRNA from 1 species